rnacentral:rRNA from 1 species
CCCGCCGGCGUAUGCAUUAGUACGGCGAGUGAAGCGGCAAAAGCUCAAAUUUGAAAUCUGGUACCUUCGGUGCCCGAGUUGUAAUUUGGAGAGGGCAACUUUGGGGCCGUUCCUUGUCUAUGUUCCUUGGAACAGGACGUCAUAGAGGGUGAGAAUCCCGUGUGGCGAGGAGUGCGGUUCUUUGUAAAGUGCCUUCGAAGAGUCGAGUUGUUUGGGAAUGCAGCUCUAAGUGGGUGGUAAAUUCCAUCUAAAGCUAAAUAUUGGCGAGAGACCGAUAGCGAACAAGUACAGUGAUGGAAAGAUGAAAAGAACUUUGAAAAGAGAGUGAAAAAGUACGUGAAAUUGUUGAAAGGGAAGGGCAUUUGAUCAGACAUGGUGUUUUGUGCCCUCUGCUCCUUGUGGGUAGGGGAAUCUCGCAUUUCACUGGGCCAGCAUCAGUUUUGGUGGCAGGAUAAAUCCAUAGGAAUGUAGCUUGCCUCGGUAAGUAUUAUAGCCUGUGGGAAUACUGCCAGCUGGGACUGAGGACUGCGACGUAAGUCAAGGAUGCUGGCAUAAUGGUUAUAUGCCGCCCGUCUUGAACAACGGACCG